CGUAGGGGGCAAGCGUUGUCCGGAAUCAUUGGGCGUAAAGCGCGUGUAGGCGGCCAGAUAAGUCCGCUGUGAAAUCUCGAGGCUCAACUUCGAGCUGUCGGUGGAAACUGUCUGGCUAGAGUCCGGAAGAGGAGAGUGGAAUUCCUGGUGUAGCGGUGAAAUGCGCAGAUAUCAGGAAGAACACCCGUGGCGAAGGCGGCUCUCUGGGACGGUACUGACGCUGAGACGCGAAAGCGUGGGGAGCAAACAGGAUUAGAUACCCUGGUAGUCCACGCCGUAAACGAUGGGAACUAGGUGUGGGCGGUGUCGACUCCGUCCGUGCCGAAGCUAACGCAUUAAGUUCCCCGCCUGGGGAGUACGGCCGCAAGGCUA
rnacentral:rRNA from 1 species